AAAAAAAAACCACAAACCAACAACAAAACCAUAAAAUCAAAGCCUUGAAGGAUAUUGUAAUGAUUUUCACUUCAAGAUGUUUUUACUUGAAGCAUCCUAAACCUUAGUAUAGAAGAAUAUUUGUUUCAGCCAGAGCCAUAGGGAGGAGCAGUAAGCAGUGGCUGUCAUUACAGUGGCAAGAUGCCUUGCUAAGUCAUGUCUGCUGAGCUAGACAAUUGGAUAUACUCAUGCUGACAUGCAAAAAGGACUGCAACUAAACAAAACCUUUGGCAAAACAUAGUGCCAUAUCUCUUAAUCCAGCUUCACUCCUACAAAGCAUUACAAAAUAUCAAAGGAAGAGGACUCAAAAGCCCACCAGGGAAAAGGCUGGAGCGGCGCAAGAACCUAGGAGGAGACACAGCUGGGACAGCUGAGGCCAAAUGAUCUAAAGGAUAUUCCAUACCAUGUGGUGUCAUGCUCAGUAUGUGAAAUGGGAGGAAAGCUGGCCAGGGAUUGCUGUUCAGGAACAGGCUGGGCAUUGGUCAGUGGCUGCUACAGUUAACAAGGAAUCUUCUUUUGAAUAUCUGUGACCAAUGUCCUGAUCACCCUUCACGAAGACAAUCCAAACCUUCUUCAUCUUUUGGCUGGGCUGCAACAAAACACUGUGAAGCUGGGCACAAAGAUUGGUUUUCCAAAUUCACUACAACUUGAGCACUCCUCUCUAUUCAGCACUGAGCAAGAAUGUCAGAUCAGUCCUCCCCUCUCUGUGAUGACUCUCUGUAGAACAGAACACCAGUAUAAGGAGGCUUUUGGUCCUUGUCCAAGAGUAAAAUGAUCAUCAAAAAUUGCAAGUGAAGAGUAAUAUAUGACGAUUCUAAACCUCAAAAGUAACAGAAGUGUCCACUUUGAGUGCAAAGAUAUCUGUUUAUAUCAGGCACAUUGCCUAGAUGGUAAAAAAAAGCAAGGAAGCCAAGACAUAAAGUGAUACCGAAUUAAGAAGCAGCAUUAAGAAAUACACCUCUAACAGCAGAAGAUGGACUGUUUCAGGUAACAAUUUAUUCAGCAUCCUGAAUACUGAAAGCUGUAGUUACAGGCUUGCUGUUGACCUAGCAGAAAUACCAUUGGGUGCGCUGGGGGCAUUUACAGUCAAAAAAAGUACAAGAUAUCUCAAAAAAAAGAGAAUACUGGUUACAUAAGUGAAGGCAUAUGUCUGUCAUGAAUCUUCCUACUCCUCAGGAAGACACAAAGUUGUCCAUUUUGCUACCUCUGGUUUUCUACAAACUCACCGCAACACCAAAAAAUGUCUGAGAAAAGACACAAGUCUGACGUAAUGACUGACCUGAAAUCUCUCAGCAGAUCUUUUUAAUUCUUCUCAUUGUAAUUAACAAAUUCCAAAACACAUAGAUCAAACUUGUUUUAGUGGUUCAUUAAAACGACACAAAUUUAAAAGUUACCAUUGCUGCUUAUGUCAGUUUCAAAAGCCCUUCUGAAAAAAAGGACUUCAGAUCCACUGUGUCUGUUACUGCUAAUUCAAUUUUUUUUCCAACCUGUACAGCAGUUUGCCUUGUCUCUUCUCAGAAAGCAACACCAUGACUACUUGAAAGUGCUGACCUAAAAUAUA